rnacentral:rRNA from 1 species
AGAGUUUGAUCCUGGCUCAGGACGAACGCUGGCGGCGCGCCUAACACAUGCAAGUCGAACGGAGCUUAGAGAGCUUGCUUUUUAAGCUUAGUGGCGAACGGGUGAGUAACGCGUGAGUAACCUGCCCUAGAGUGGGGGACAACAGUUGGAAACGACUGCUAAUACCGCAUAAGCCCACGGUACCGCAUGGCACUGAGGGAAAAGGAUUUAUUCGCUUUAGGAUGGACUCGCGUCCAAUUAGCUAGUUGGUGAGGUAACGGCCCACCAAGGCGACGAUUGGUAGCCGGACUGAGAGGUUGAACGGCCACAUUGGGACUGAGACACGGCCCAGACUCCUACGGGAGGCAGCAGUGGGGGAUAUUGCACAAUGGGGGAAACCCUGAUGCAGCGACGCCGCGUGGAGGAAGAAGGUUUUCGGAUUGUAAACUCCUGUCGUUAGGGACGAUAAUGACGGUACCUAACAAGAAAGCACCGGCUAACUACGUGCCAGCAGCCGCGGUAAAACGUAGGGUGCAAGCGUUGUCCGGAAUUACUGGGUGUAAAGGGAGCGCAGGCGGGAAGACAAGUUGGAAGUGAAAACCAUGGGCUCAACCCAUGAAUUGCUUUCAAAACUGUUUUUCUUGAGUAGUGCAGAGGUAGAUGGAAUUCCCGGUGUAGCGGUGGAAUGCGUAGAUAUCGGGAGGAACACCAGUGGCGAAGGCGGUCUACUGGGCACCAACUGACGCUGAGGCUCGAAAGCAUGGGUAGCAAACAGGAUUAGAUACCCUGGUAGUCCAUGCCGUAAACGAUGAUUACUAGGUGUUGGGGGGAUUGACCCCCUCAGUGCCGCAGUUAACACAAUAAGUAAUCCACCUGGGGAGUACGACCGCAAGGUUGAAACUCAAAGGAAUUGACGGGGGCCCGCACAAGCAGUGGAAGUAUGUGGGUUUAAUUCCGAAGCAACCCGGAAGAACCUUUACCAAGGUCUGGACAUUCCAAUGCUAAGCACAAGAGAUGUUGUGAAAACCUCUCGGGAAUUCGAAGACAGGGGGGGGCAAGGGUUUCCCCCACCCUCGUUGCCUGGGAGAGAUUUGGGGUUAAAUCCCCCCACAAAGACGCAACCCUUUAUUGCCCGUUACUACGUUAAGAGGACUCUGGCGAGACUGCCGUUGACAAAACGGAGGAAGGUGGGGAUGACGUCAAAUCAUCAUGCCCUUUAUGACCUGGGCUACACACGUACUACAAUGGCGUUAAACAAAGAGAAGCAAGACCGCGAGGUGGAGCAAAACUCAAAAACAACGUCUCAGUUCAGAUUGCAGGCUGCAACUCGCCUGCAUGAAGUCGGAAUUGCUAGUAAUCGCGGAUCAGCAUGCCGCGGUGAAUACGUUCCCGGGCCUUGUACACACCGCCCGUC